UUUUCAAGCAUCCAGGUGAUUCUCAUGUGGCCUAAACUUGAGAAUCUCUGGGCUGAGUCUUUGAUGAUGCCCUGAGUUCAUCAUUUUACUUCUUCAGAUUCCUGAGUAGAGCAGUGUGCGGAAAGUUAGACCCAAACAAGGCAGUGAGCUAGUUUCUUACGCUAAUGGUCACACAGAUCUCAUAAUUGCGUGGAGGACACAAGUGUCUCAUAAUUAGCGUCUGCUGUUCUGUUCCUGGGGGGCAAUUGUUCCGCAACAAUGCCCAGGCUCCGUGCUGGACCACCAGCCUCCCUCCCUCCAGCACAUUCCAAUCCCCUGAGAGAAGAGCCCCGAGUUCUCAGGACUUUAACCCUUUCCUGCCAGGACCCCCAGGGCCAGCGCUGAGGUUGACAAGUAGCCUGAAAGGACAGGAGGACUUACUCCAGUCCUGCAUCUGCCACUUGAGCUAUCACAACAGGCUUCUGCCUUCUCAGUGGGAUUACGAGUGACGCAGCAGAGUAGGCAGCAGGAUGUGGUGACAAAAACACACCUCUGGCCCUAAAGCUUGUGUUACCUCCUGGCUGCCAUUCACCAGCUAUGUGAGUUUAGGAAAGUCGUUUCACCUCUGAGCCGCAGAUUCCUCAUCUAUAAAAUGAAGACAAGAACACCUCUCCCUAGUAUUAGGGUAUUUAGAUUCUUUCCACUUUUUUACUUUCUUUUACCAUAUUCUUGGCAUUUUGUGUUUAACUUCAAGGUUCUGACCAAUGAAUGAUCCCAGGAGUGUUCACGAAAACCCCUGGGGGAAGCUUUUACAAAAUAAAGAUCGAAGUCUGUGAGCUGGAA